AUACGUAGGGGGCGAGCGUUGUCCGGAAUGAUUGGGCGUAAAGGGCGCGUAGGCGGCCCGUUAAGUCUGGAGUGAAAGUCCUGUUUUCAAGAUGGGAAUUGCUUUGGAUACUGAUGGGCUUGAGUGCAGGAGAGGUUAUCGGAAUUCCCGGUGGAGCGGUGCAAUGCGUAGAGAUCGGGAGGAGCACCAGUGGCGAAGGCGGGUAACUGGACUGCAACUGACGCUGAGGCGCGAAAGUGUGGGGAGCAAACAGGAUUAGAUACCCUGGUAGUCCACACUGUAAACGAUGAAUGCUAGGUGUAAGAGGUAUCGACCCCUUUUGUGCCGGAGUCAACACAAUAAGCAUUCCGCCUGGGGAGUACGGCCGCAAGGUUGAAACUCAAAUGAAUUGGCGGGG
rnacentral:rRNA from 1 species